rnacentral:misc_RNA from 1 species
UUAUUAAAUUAACUUUUUACUCCGACGUAAUAAUGCAGUGUUUUGAUGACCUCCGGGGGGAAUGCCGCGAACGGCAGGGUCGCCCCCGAAGCAACAAGAUAAGUUCACAAAGGGUUGGAGGUCGGGACUGGGAUUGCCCCCGAACUCAGUAAUGAUCCCUCCGCAGGUUCACCUACGGAGA